CUUGUCCACGCACUGGGAAAGUGGCGAGUGUAUCAGCUGCUUCCUCUGCGUCCUGAUUUCGAUUCUGUUCUUAACUUUAGAAAGCUGAGGGACAGACUGUUGCGUGCUACUACUGCAGUGAUAGGAUCGGAACGCUUCCCUCACUGCAAGGGUUGGUUAGCAGCAGCGGCUGACAGCAACCUCGGGGGAGUUAGACAGACUUAAAGCAUUGAGGUUUACAAUAUGGAUGAAUUUUACAAGAUCUCUUCCACUGAGAGAGUCCAGCAGUUGGAAAAAGAACUAGCUGCUCAACUGGUAGAGCUGAAGACAGAAAUAGAAGACAAUGGGGUACUGCAGGGAACACCAGAUAGAGCUUACAGUUCUGUUCCAAUACCAAAGGACGCUUCGUAUUUCAGAAAAGAAAGGGAGGUGACACUGAAGAAAGUUUUACAGGUAGCAGGGGCAAAAUCUCUUGUUAUUCAGGCUGAUGUCAUGCAGAGGGAGCUAGAGAGCUGUCUGAGAAGAGAGUAUACAGCAGAAAGCUUACCUCUGUUACUGCACCAGUUUUUUACAGACAGAAUUACCCAUCUGGUCCAGAGUAAAUACUUACACAUGCUUAGAUGGAAGAGAUUUUGUAGGCACAGCAGUGUUAUUGAACAGCUUUAUCCCCUCUAUCAGAAACAAAUUGGUCUCAUUAUGCAGGAGUACAACGAUGCUGUUCAGAGGGCUGCGAGACUGUCGGCUGCACGACAGAACUUUCUGACAGGAAAGAAGAAUUCUGUAAAUAUAGUGACACAGGAAGACCUAGUUAUUUACAUGCAGUGGUUAGUGUGUCACCUACACUCUCUCAAGGCCAUUCACAGCUACCUUAGGGUAAGAGAGCAUGUGGAUGAUGCAACAUAAUUGCCAACCUCUGCACUGCAAAAUGUUAGCAUUUAAUAAAUAUAAUAAUAUUUCCCA
rnacentral:lncRNA from 1 species